rnacentral:rRNA from 1 species
UACGUAGGGGGCGAGCGUUGUCCGGAAUUAUUGGGCGUAAAGAGCUCGUAGGCGGUGUGUCACGUCGGCCGUGAAAACCUGCAGCUUAACUGUGGGCGUGCGGUCGAUACGGGCAUCACUGGAGUUCGGCAGGGGAGACUGGAAUUCCUGGUGUAGCGGUGGAAUGCGCAGAUAUCAGGAGGAACACCGAUGGCGAAGGCAGCUCGCUGGGACGGUACUGACGCUGAGGCGCGAAAGCGUGGGGAGCGAACAGG